rnacentral:rRNA from 1 species
GAGAACAUACCACGGUGGGAACAUCGGUUCUCGACUGAUCACCAAAGUUAAGCAGUGACGGACCCGGUUAUUACUUGCAUGGAUGACCAGUUGGUAAUAUCAAGUGUUGCGGCC